GGGUGGUAAUGCCGGAUGUUCCACAUGAUCGCAUGUGAUUGUGGGAAAGAUUUCAUCGGCGUGGGAUGGGGUCGCGUCCUAUCAGCUUGUUGGUGAGGUAACGGCUCACCAAGGCUUCGACGGGUAGCCGGCCUGAGAGGGCGACCGGCCACAUUGGGACUGAGAUACGGCCCAGACUCCUACGGGAGGCAGCAGUGGGGAAUAUUGCACAAUGGGCGCAAGCCUGAUGCAGCGACGCCGCGUGAGGGAUGGAGGCCUUCGGGUUGUAAACCUCUUUUGUUUGGGAGCAAGCCUUCGGGUGAGUGUACCUUUCGAAUAAGCGCCGGCUAACUACGUGCCAGCAGCCGCGGUAAUACGUAGGGCGCAAGCGUUAUCCGGAUUUAUUGGGCGUAAAGGGCUCGUAGGCGGCUCGUCGCGUCCGGUGUGAAAGUCCAUCGCUUAACGGUGGAUCUGCGCCGGGUACGGGCGGGCUGGAGUGCGGUAGGGGAGACUGGAAUUCCCGGUGUAACGGUGGAAUGUGUAGAUAUCGGAAAAGAACACCA
rnacentral:rRNA from 1 species